UACGGAGGGUGCAAGCGUUAUCCGGAUUUACUGGGUUUAAAGGGUGCGUAGGUGGAUUUGGAAGUCAGAGGUGAAAUCUCCGGGCUUAACCCGGAAACUGCCUUUGAUACUCUAAGUCUUGAAUCAUCUGGAGGUAAGCGGAAUAUGUCAUGUAGCGGUGAAAUGCUUAGAUAUGACAUAGAACACCAAUUGCGAAGGCAGCUUACUACGGAUGUAUUGACACUGAGGCACGAAAGCGUGGGGAUCAAACAGG
rnacentral:rRNA from 1 species